rnacentral:rRNA from 1 species
AGCGAACGCUGGCGGCAGGCCUAACACAUGCAAGUCGAACGGAUCCUUCGGGAUUAGUGGCGGACGGGUGAGUAACACGUGGGAACGUGCCCUUUGGUUCGGAACAACUCAGGGAAACUUGAGCUAAUACCGGAUGUGCCCUUCGGGGGAAAGAUUUAUCGCCAUUGGAGCGGCCCGCGUCUGAUUAGCUAGUUGGUGAGGUAAAGGCUCACCAAGGCGACGAUCAGUAGCUGGUCUGAGAGGAUGAUCAGCCACAUUGGGACUGAGACACGGCCCAAACUCCUACGGGAGGCAGCAGUGGGGAAUCUUGCGCAAUGGGCGAAAGCCUGACGCAGCCAUGCCGCGUGAAUGAUGAAGGUCUUAGGAUUGUAAAAUUCUUCACCGGGGACGAUAAUGACGGUACCCGGAGAAGAAGCCCCGGCUAACUUCGUGCCAGCAGCCGCGGUAAAACACGAGAGUA